GAGUUGGUAGGUUCCUCGGCCCAUUUCGCUCCUCCGCUUCCCCAAAAGAACACAGCCUGGGUGGGCCAAGUCUGUGACCAGAACCCCGACACCGACCCCCGGUCGUUUAGCAGAUUCCGCUUGGUUUGUUGGGUAAUGAGCCAUAAAGCAGUCCGUGUACUGUUUACAGGACCUUCCUCUGUGCUCCUGGUCUGUGUUCGGGUCCAAGCAGAACUAGUUCUGCAUGAAGGCGUCAUGUCCAAACAGCUGGUUGGUUCCUUUCAUCUCCAUCAGUGGAACCUUGAAACUGAAUUUCUAUUGGCCAAUGCUCCAGAGGACCUUCACACCUGUGGCCUCAAAUCACGAGUUGCUGCUGCUGCUUCACUGGAAGGGAGAAAUCCUAAAUGGCAUUAGUUAAAAUUCUGAAACUGCAGGUUGUCGUUGCAGGAGGAGGAGGAUGGAGACCUACAGGGUGAUGGAGUCAUAAAAACAGGGUGGUUCCAUUGCUCUCCUCAUCCUCAGGAGCAUCUUCUCUGCUUCUUCAACUAAAGAGGGAAAUGCUGCCUCCUGCUGGCAGAUUGCUCCCAUUGCAGGCAUCUCCUUUUUCUUGAUUUUGAUCGUUUUCCUGCACAUCACGGAGAUCGAAAAGGACUUUAAUCAUGGUUUUUACGUUUUUUUUUCUCAUCAUAAAUGAUCAUUCUAAAAAAAAACUUUUUCUAGAAACUAUGUCAACGGAUCAGCAUCUAGUCAGCAGCAACUCCGCCCUCAAACCCACCCAGUGGAGUGGAGGAGGUUUUGGAAGCUGUUGGAGCAAAGAAAAGUGAAGAACUUCCUGUUUUUUUCCCCAGCCGUGAAGUUUGAAACCAUCUGAACAUCUGGUUCUCCUUUGAUCCAUCACAUGACAUACCACAAAGUUUACCCCACUUCUCGUCUUUUCUUACAUAUAUGUUCUAAAUUAUGACAUAAAGACGACACAUCUGGACAACGCAACUUUGUUUAAAGUUUGUAAAAAAACUCCAUUUCCUGCA